rfam:Oryza sativa Japonica Group DNA, chromosome 6, cultivar: Nipponbare, complete sequence.
AAAAAUAAUAAACCUUAAUUUUCGUGUCCAACGUUUAACUGUCCGUAUUAUAUAAAAUUUUCUUAUAAUUAGUAUUUUCAUUAUUAUUAGAUGAUAAAACAUGAUUAAUAUUUUAUGCGUGACUUAUCUUUUUAAUUUUUUUCAUAAUUUUUUUCAAAUAAGACGGAUGGUCAAGCGUUGGACACGGAAACAUAGGGUUUGUCUUUUU